rnacentral:lncRNA from 1 species
GGAUAGUGAUGGAGAAUUCAAUAUAUGAAGGUUUAUGAUAGAUUUUGUCUAGGUAACAAUAUAGUUUUAGAUUUGAUCUCUAGUGUAAGUUAUCACAAUUAAUUGGUUUUUGGUUAGUUUUGCUGAAAGGAAUUGAUUUAAGUUUUAUGUUUUCAGUUUAAAUAACAUGAUCUAUAAAAUUGAUUGAGACUUAUAUUGUAUGGAUCUUGAAAAGAUAGGGGCGACAACGAUGGAGCUUGCGAUUAGGGUUUUACAUAAAAAUAAUUAAAUUGUUUUUUGUUUUGUUUUUGGUUUCGUUUUUUUUUUUGUCACGUUGGUGGAUCUGCGAUGUUUUUUGAGAUGAUUAUUGUUUGGUCAUAUUUUGGUGGAUAUACUUGUUUAUAAGUUCGAUUUAAAAUUUAUAUGUACACGGGAAGAUAGGGUAUUCAGUUGCGGUUUAAUUUGUAUGGUUUUUAGAUUUUGAUUAAUUCUUUUUCAUAUCAAAAAAACAUAUGGAAUAUUUAAAAUGCUGGUUUUCGGAUCUACAAAUAUAUUGCUGCAAUUGGUUCAAAAUAAAUUUUGUUUUUCUUUUCCUGUUGGAUCGACUAUGAUUUACCAGAUCUUAUCUGGAGACUGGUUGUAAAUAAUUAAAAUAUUUUUAUCAACAUGUACCUUAAUUAUUUGUUGAACAUUUCCAAAGAACUAUAUUCCUAAAAAAUAUUUAUAUAGUUUAAUAAGAAAAAUAAAUGGAAAAUAAGAUUCAAAUUUAGUUGUGAAUGUAACUUACAAAAUUAAGAUUCAAAUAUUGGACUUGGAACUUACAAAAUUAAGAUUCAAAUAGACCGGAAAGCUAAAAUUAAAAGCUGCACAUUUAUCUACAUCCAUUUAUAAC